GACGUAGGGGACGAGCGUUGUCCGGAUUCAUUGGGCGUAAAGCGCGCGUAGGCGGUUCGGUAAGUCGGGUGUGAAAACACGAGGCUCAACCUCGUGCGUGCAUCCGAUACUGCCGGACUAGAGGUAGGUAGGGGAGAUCGGAAUUCCGGGUGUAGCGGUGGAAUGCGUAGAGAUCCGGAAGAACACCGGUGGCGAAGGCGGCCUGCUGGGCAGUAGCUGACACUGAGGCGCGACAGCGUAGGGAGCAAACAGG
rnacentral:rRNA from 1 species